rnacentral:rRNA from 1 species
GAUGAACGCUGGCGGCAGGCCUAACACAUGCAAGUCGAGCGAGAAAGGCCUUCGGGCUGAGUAGAGCGGCGGACGGGUGAGUAACGCGUAGGAAGCUACCCGGUAGCGGGGGAUAACUCGGGGAAACUCGAGCUAAUACCGCAUACGCCCUGAGGGGGAAAGCGGGGGACCAUAUGGCCUCGCACUAUCGGAUGCGCCUGCGUCGGAUUAGCUAGUUGGUAGGGUAAAGGCCUACCAAGGCGACGAUCCGUAGCUGGUCUGAGAGGAUGAUCAGCCACACUGGGACUGAGACACGGCCCAGACUCCUACGGGAGGCAGCAGUGGGGAAUAUUGGACAAUGGGGGCAACCCUGAUCCAGCCAUGCCGCGUGUGUGAAGAAGGCCUUCGGGUUGUAAAGCACUUUCAGCGGGGAGGAAAGGGCGCUGGUUAACACCUGGCGCAGUUGACGUUACCCGCAGAAGAAGCACCGGCUAACUCCGUG